rnacentral:lncRNA from 1 species
UCGUAAUUGAUAUCAUAAAUAAAGUAACAAAAUAACACUGUUCAAACCAUAAGGCUCAUCAAAAUAGCAAAUCACAGUGAAGAAAAGGGUAGAAAGGGCUAGGGUAGGAAACAAUUCUGAUGAAGAAAGGGGCUCACAAGAAGAAAUGUCUGUCCAGCAACAGAAGGAAGAAGAAAUAGUCAUGGCAAAGCCAAAGGAAGGACAAACAACUCUGAAAGGGAAAGAAACGACUCAGGGUUCUUACAUUUUACCAUGUCAGUGUGAAUGGGUAAGAACAUUAAUGUUAAAAUUGGCCCAGUCUGAAGUUGGUUUUAAAAAAUAAAUAAAAAGUCAAGUUUUUAGGGUUUUGAGAAAAAGGGUUGAGUGUGGUCCAUCCUGCUUUUGUGUGCGUGCCGGCUGCACCAGACUCGCGCAAAUUGCAACCCAAAAGCGAUUCUACCGAUACAGACUAAGAGAAAUUCCAAUGAUACAACAACCGAUUCUGGAGCAAAAAAGGUUCCACGUCCGAUUUGCAUCGUCUGGGAAUCAUUCUGUAUCAAAUUGUGAUUCAUAUUAUACGAUCCAUACAAUAGUAAGUUAGUAACUACCAUG